GCUCCAGAACUGCACCUAUUUUCAUAAAUAUCCCAUAGCAGUUUCUCAGAGAGUGAUAAAAUGUGGGUAAACUGUGGUAAAUCUCAUCCUCAGGGUACAGAUUUGGUAGCAAGGUAAUAAUUAAGGAUAACCAGAUGGCAAAGAGGGUGGUUCUGUUUAGCUUUCCAACAUGAACAGAACAUCUGUAGCUGCUGAACAAAGCAUUAGUUUUGCAGUAUGCAUAAUUAGCUGAUAGAGAUCUAGAUACACAAUACCUCCGAGACCUUGAUUUUUAGGGUAAAGAAAAAGGAUUUAGACAUGUAUAUGUACACCUACUAACCACUAACAGGUACAGUAGGUAGGUUUUUGUUUGGGUUUGUCUUAAGCGGCGAUACACUACUUCAUGUUUCCAUGGGUAAAGCAGGUGUUGGUGCAGGUAGGAAAAAUUUUCUAUUAUGAGCAGUUUCAGUUCAGUCACAGAGCACACAUACUGAACCUGGCGUGCUUGAAACCAAGAGGGAAGUGGUGGUAUCCUUCACCAUCAACAACCUGCAUGCAGGCUUUGACGGUGUGGGGACUGCAUUAACCAGUAAUGCCAUACUUCUCUGUCUGCAGCUGAUGUGGCUUCUGCUCCUGUGCAGCUUACGCUUCCUCUAGGAACCGCUCUUAAGCCAACUUUGCUUUUCACAUCAGGUUCCAACUCAGUUUCCCAGACACUUGGAGAUGGCUCGGUGCAUCAUGGGGAGAUACGUCAGCCUACACGUUAGGUGGCCAGCGGGGCUGGCUUGGCUCCCUCUGCCCCUCCCGGAGCCAGGGGAGGCUCCCAGGCUCGGUGACCCCAGGGAGGAUCCUGUGAGCCGUGCCCAGCGCCGGGGGAGGCCAUCCUGGAGGCCAACACACAAAGGCCUCACCUCGCCCAAGCACACCUGGCCAGAAGCAGGACCUCCCAUCCGAGCUGCUGCCUGCAUUGCCUCUGCAGCCGGCGGCAAGAGAGGAGGCAGCGCUGGCUGAUUCAUCCCACUUAAGCCAGGUACAGGGGUAGGUGGGAUGAAUCACUGUCUGGCACUGCCCCCAUUGACCGCAGGAGAAAUUAGGCAAUGAACUGAGGUGAGAUGCUUCAUUUUUAACUAAAUCAGAUUCAAUUAAUCCCACCCUCUGUUGCACUGUGAUGAGGCAAUCUAGCGAUGGCAAAUUGUUUGAAAAGAGAGACUUUUCCUCGCCUCAGAAAAAUGAGAUCACUUUGUUAUUUGUUUUCCAACCAUGCUAUUUGUUCUGAAGUGUGGAUCACAGUUCUCUAAUACUGCAGGUAAAAUGAGAGGAGACAUCUAAAUCACUGAUGCAAUAUUGCCAAUUGUUUGUAUCAUAUUGCUGGUCUCUAGCAAGUAUGUGCUGUUUCUUGAAGCCUUGGGCAUUGAAAACAAAUGAGAAAAGCACCUUCCUUUUUAAUAUAAACCAGAACUUUAUACUUCUGGUCAUCUGGAAAACAAGCAUGAAAAAGCACAAUUUGAGUGUUCUAUACAAGAAAAGAAAAAAAAAGGCAAAUAAAAAGUACUGUGGAAAUAUUAAAAAAGAAAGAAAGAAAAAAGGAACAGCUGUCCUUCAUUUUAAUCUAGUUUUCAAGCCUGACGCAUGAUUUUCUCCCUUUUGCUUCUACUAGUUUUGCUGAUGACCCAUACGUCUACAAAAGAAUGAACCCUAAGAUAGUUUGCAAACAUACAGUUAAAAAAAAGAAAAAGAAAAAAAAAAGACCUUGAGCUGUAAAUUCCAUUACAGCAUUGUCAAUGAACGGCACCAAAAACAUUAGCUUUGCACCUGCUCCUUUAUGAGCUGGACACUCCAGGGUUUCUGUUCUAUUUUCUUCCACACACGGCAGGGGCCAUGUGCAAAUGUGCGAGUCCAUCUCUGGCUGCUUCUUGUUCGUUGGGCUGUUGCGUGAAAGCAGAAUAGAGUUCAGAAAGGUUCCCUGGCCUUCUGCGUUUCCCUGCACUGCAUCAGAUGGGGUCCCAGGUCAUGUGGAAGAGUCACACAGCACUGAGUAAGACAAAAUAACCCUGCAUUGGCUUGUUACCUCUUCAGUUACCCAUUCCUUCGGGCCUCAAGGCUCUAUCAUCAGCUGCAGGUAAAAGCCUUCUUUCCCCCAAAACAGGAAAAUCUACAGAAUUUCAGCAUGGGACUUAGUGUUCAGUCCAACUCUUGAGGAAGCUGGUAAAAGUAAGUCUUUAAUAAUGAAGAUUAACCAAACAGUGUAUCUUAGAUUUUAAAGGAUGAUUGAUUUAGGACAGCACAACCUUCCCCACGGCAAGUAGCAUGUAGCAGUUGCAACUCUCAUCUCAGAAGCAAAGCUUCAUAAGCAUAAGAAUGAUGAAGUAGGAGUCCAAAAGGUUUCUCUUACAGUUUUGCUGACUUCUAGUUAGGGUUGCUAGUACCUGUCAUUCUUAAAAUGAGAUUGGGAAGGGACUUGGUGGAGGAGGAGCACUCAUAUUGCCCAGUGAUUGGAGAUCCAUGAGCAGGGCUCAUGCCUUUACAGCCAAUUUCUGUAUUAUUUGGGCAAGCCACUGCUAUCCCAGUCUUUGUUAAGUAGCAGUAUUUGAAAUGGACCUAUUCUGCUCAGUCUUUCAUGGAUGGUGGAUAGUUUAAAUAAUCUUAGAAACAUUCCGAAAUUCUGCAAGGCAAGAAAUUAUCCAUGGUGCAAAGUAUGACUAAUGUUUGUGUGAGUCAUUGAAUGUGUUACUGAAGACAGUUUAAGAGAAACGAAUAUGCAGAAAAGAAGGCUGACCCUGCAAAACCCGCAGAUCUCCUGUGGUGUGAACCCUGGAUGUGAGCACACCAAAUGGUGAGCUGGGAUUUUCCCAAGCAUCCCGCCACAGCCUGCUUCUGCUGGGAUGCAAAAUGCCCACUGCCAGGCCACGGCUGAGGGCUUUGGAAGCCCCUCCAUAUCUCCUCGUGAUGUGUGGAGAAGCAGGAGAGCCUGGAAGUGAAAGACAAAAGGCAGCUUGCCCACCAGCAGAGGAAAUGUAGGGUCCAUGAUGCUCUGGCUGGCCACGCUGCGCACAGAAGCCUGCUGAUGGAGAGCUGACCCUGGCGAGCUGGCCAUCUGGUACCCACAGCCUGCUGCAGCGGGGGGAAAGGAGAGCCCAGCAGCGCUGCGGCCAAACAGCCGGCAGCAGUGGCAGCCAGGGAAGCGGCCUUAUUCUUUUGGCAAAAACCCCUCCGUGCAUCCAUCCAUACGUAUGCUCCCUCACCCACCCCGUCUGAAUGAAAAAUCAGGGCCUUCCUGACAUGAGGCAGCGCACGCCAGAUGCUGAGCAGUCAACAAGACAGAUGCUGCCAGGGGGACAAAAGAGAGUGAGGUUGGAGGGGAAACGCCUGCCUCCCUAAGGAGAGGAACAGCUGUCUUUGGGAACGGCAGCAUCAGCUUUCCCCUUCUCGACUGCACAGAGGAAAGGCAAAGAGCAGCAGGACGUGGCAUCCCAAGUCAGAAGCACUUGCAUGCUCCCUCCCAGCCUCCCUGCAUGCUCCCCUCUCCCUGUGAGGAUGCUGGCACUGAUCUCGAGCCUGCCAUCGUCCCAGGGGAUGACACCAUCUGCAGCGAGGCUGAUGAAUGAGUCUCUGAGCGCCAGCGGCAGGCGGCACAGACAGCACCCGGCCUGCUCAGCUGAGGCGGAGGUACCUGUGAGUGCAACUGGGAGAGAAAGUGAUCAGCCAGCAAAAAAGAAUGAAGUGUAAAGAGACACACAGGAACCCCAUAAAAUACACAGGAAAAGUCCUGCUUCACCUGUCUUUUAACUAC